UACGUAGGGGGCUAGCGUUGUCCGGAAUCAUUGGGCGUAAAGCGCGUGUAGGCGGUUCGGUAAGUCCGCUGUGAAAGUCGGGGGCUCAACCCUCGGAUGCCGGUGGAUACUGUCGGACUAGAGUACGGAAGAGGCGAGUGGAAUUCCUGGUGUAGCGGUGAAAUGCGCAGAUAUCAAGGAGGAACCACCGAUUGCGAAGGCA
rnacentral:rRNA from 1 species